rnacentral:lncRNA from 1 species
CAAUUAUAAGGAUGACGUAGGCAAAGGUUUGGGCACACAAAGUCUAGGACAGUUCUAUCUGGCUAUGAAGAAAUAAUGGCUCCUGUGCCAUAGGAAUCUAGCUAAGAAGUUUAUUGGAGAACAGGAAUCAGUGGCCAUCAUUUUCUUUACUUACUUUGAUUGAAAAUGAGCAGUUGUUGAAGGUCAGAAGUUCACACCUGCUGUCACUAUAACGGUUGGUCACAAAGCCUUUGCAAAACUCGGUUGCAGCACAGAGAGAAUAAGGUCAUUUUGUGCAGCUGGACCUAAUAUGGUUCUUUAUUUUAUCAAUUUUCCAUGCAUGUCUCUGUUCAUAUAGAAAGCAUUUGUCAUCAGUACUGAUAUUGAAAUUCCUGAAUUUUGAAACCCUACAUAUGAUCAGAUCAAAGGAGGUUUUGAUGUUCGAGAGCCUUUAUAUGAUGCCGGAG